rnacentral:rRNA from 1 species
CCAAUAGCGUAUAUUAAAGUUGUUGCAGUUAAAAAGCUCGUAGUUGAAUUUUAGGCCUGGCCGGGCGGUCCGUCUUUGGCGAGUACUGUCCUGUGUCGGGUCCACCUUCUGGUGAACCAGUAUGUCCUUUAUUGGGUGUGCCGGGGAGCCAGGACCAUUACCUUGAAAAAAUUAGAGUGUUUAAAGCGGGCAUUUGCUUGAAUAGAUUAGCAUUGAAUAAUAGAAUAGGACGUUGUGGUUCUAUUUUGUUGGUUUCUAGGACCAACGUAAUGAUUAAUAGGGAUAGUUGGGGGCAUUAGUAUUCAAUUGUCAGAGGUGAAAUUCUUGGAUUUAUUGAAGACUAACUAUUGCGAAAGCAUUUGCCAAGGAUGUUUUCAUUAAUCAAGAACGAAAGUUAGGGGAUCGAAGACGAUCAGAUACCGUCGUAGUCUUAACCAUAAACUAUGCCGACUAGGAAUCAGACGAUGUUAAUUUUUUAAUGACUCGUUUGGCACCUUACG